GACGAACGCUGGCGGCGUGCCUAAUACAUGCAAGUAGAACGCUGAAGAGAGGAGCUUGCUCUUCUUGGAUGUGUUGCGAACGGGUGAGUAACGCGUAGGUAACCUGCCUGGUAGCGGGGGAUAACUAUUGGAAACGAUAGCUAAUACCGCAUGAUAUUAAUUGUCGCAUGAUAAUUAAUUGAAAGAUGCAAUUGCAUCACUACCAGAUGGACCUGCGUUGUAUUAGCUAGUUGGUGAGGUAACGGCUCACCAAGGCGACGAUACAUAGCCGACCUGAGAGGGUGAUCGGCCACACUGGGACUGAGACACGGCCCAGACUCCUACGGGAGGCAGCAGUAGGGAGUCUUCGGCAAUGGGGGGAACCCUGACCGAGCAACGCCGCGUGAGUGAAGAAGGUUUUCGGAUCGUAAAGCUCUGUUGUAAGAGAAGAACGGGUGUGAGAGUGGAAAGUUCACACUGUGACGGUAUCUUACCAGAAAGGCGGCUA
rnacentral:rRNA from 1 species